UACAGAGGUCUCAAGCGUUGUUCGGAUUCAUUGGGCGUAAAGGGUGCGUAGGUGGCGCCAUAAGUCGGGUGUGAAAUCUCGGGGCUUAACUCCGAAACUGCAUUCGAUACUGUGGUGCUCGAGGACUGGAGAGGAGACUGGAAUUCAUGGUGUAGCAGUGAAAUGCGUAGAGAUCAUGAGGAAGACCAGUGGCGAAGGCGGGUCUCUGGGCCGAUACUGACGCUGAGGAGCGAAAGCGUGGGGAGCAAACAGG
rnacentral:rRNA from 1 species